rnacentral:rRNA from 1 species
AACGCGAAGAACCUUACCUGGGCUCGAAAUGCAGGAGACCGGGGUAGAAAUAUCCUUUUCUCGCAAGAGACUGCUGUAUAGGUGCUGCAUGGCUGUCGUCAGCUCGUGUCGUGAGAUGUUGGGUUAAGUCCCGCAACGAGCGCAACCCUCAUCCCUAGUUGCCAUCGGGUCAAGCCGGGCACUCUAGUGAAACCGCCCCGGAUAACGGGGAGGAAGGUGGGGAUGACGUCAAGUCCUCAUGGCCUUUAUGUCCAGGGCUACACACGUGCUACAAUGGUCGGUACAAACCGUCGCAAAGCUGCAAAGCGGAGCUAAUCGGAAAAAGCCGGCCUCAGUUCGGAUUGGAGUCUGCAACUCGACUCCAUGAAGCUGGAAUCGCUAGUAAUCGCAGAUCAGAACGCUGCGGUGAAUACGUUCCCGGGCCUUGUA